rnacentral:SRP_RNA from 2 species
GCCGGGCGUGGUAGCGCAUGCCUGUAGUCCUAGCUACUAGGGAGGCUGAGGCAGGAGAAUUGCUUGAACCCAGGAAGGGAGGUUGCAGUAAGCCGAGAUUGUACCACUGUACUCUAGCCUGGGUGACAAAGCAAGACCCCGUCUCAA